rnacentral:lncRNA from 1 species
UGCAGUCCUUUCUCCUAGCACUGAAUUUAUCUGAAGAAAGUGUUUGCUACCUGUUGAGAUUGAUGAUCGUUGGAAGAUAUAUUGGUUGAAAGGAAAGAGAUGUCACUUUUCUAUGACAUGUGUCAAGAAGUGGUUGAAAGUGAAUGUCAGAUAGGUUUGAACCAGUCAAGUAAACAGAAUAAUUUCUUCAAGUUCACAACUACAAGGCGAGAAGGAAUGAAGCUAAGUUUAUUAGGAGACCACGCCAUUAACACAGAAUGCGUAUUUGCAUGA